GGUUGACUAUUCACGGGUAUUAACUAAUGUAGAAAAAUCCAUAUAAUUACUUAUGCAUAGUAAACUUACAUCUCUUUUUUUCCCAAAAUUCUGCAGGUUUUGCAAUUCCUGGCAAAAAAAAACUAUCACACCAUGUAUAUACGUAUCCGACUAAGGAGAGAACGUCUUAUCCAAUGACGUACGUAUGUACAAUACACGGCUUGUCGCAAUAAUUAAUUCGCAGUGAAACUAUUAAGGUGAUAAAUGUGUGUUCCGCAUAAUUGUCGUACUACGAAUAAUUUGCACUGAGUAAACUCUUCAAUCAAAUCGAUUUCUCGGCCGGGUCAACGCACAGACGAAAAUAGAAUCGUCGAGUUUAAAAAGAAUUCAGGAAUGAUGGAUCGCGUCUCGCCGGCGUCAGUACCGUGUGGUGCAAAUAAUUUUGCAUUAAGGUGCGACUGGACUGGGUAACAAAGUAGGUCGGUAUAAAUACGAGUCGAGUCACUUUUUACGGAAUCAAGAUACAACGAGUCGCCUAAUAUACAUCUCAUUCAGAAAUAUUCUCUCGAAUUUUCCAAACUUUUCCAAAGUUUUUGUCUCCACUUUUACGUGAAAAAUUUGAAAAUGGUUCACAUGAAUGUUGCCUCCCGUUGCAUCGCUCGCCAUCAGGCGGCCGUCUUCCGUGGGAUCCUUCCCAUCCUGCUGGUAGCGUUGGUGCUGGUACUUGCGGUCGUGUCAACGUCUGCGGCUGGAAUUCCAGCAGCAGAAAACUAUAACUCGGAAUCAGCGGCGAGAUGGGGUAGCUCAUUCGCAUCGUCGGUGCUGGACGACCAUAAUUUUAUUUAAGAUCCUUGAUGCUGCACCACCUGGUCAUCUUUAAUAAACUGUAACCAUUCCAUUACUUAUGUAAACCACCUCAUAGUUUUACCGCACACACAAUAGCCUGUAAAGUUUCGAUUUUAAGGAAAUUGUACCAUAUUUCUAGUCCUAUUUAUAUCACGGAAUAAAAAUAAAAUUCGAUUAAGAUAUUGUAAAUCGUGA